rnacentral:rRNA from 1 species
UGUUUGAUCCUGGCUGAGGUCAUUGCUAUUGGGGUCCGAUUUAGCCAUGCUAGUUGCGCGACUUAGAUCGCAGCGGAAAGCUCAGUAACACGUGGCCAAACUACCCUGCAGAGGAGCAUAAUCUCGGGAAACUGAGGCUAAUACUCCAUACCGCACUCACGUUGGAAUACCGAGUGCUACAAACGCUCCGGCGCUGCAGGAUGUGGCUGCGGCCGAUUAGGUAGACGGUGGGGUAACGGCCCACCGUGCCGAUAAUCGGUACGGGUUGUGAGAGCAAGAGCCCGGAGACGGAAUCUGAGACAAGAUUCCGGGCCCUACGGGGCGCAGCAGGCGCGAAACCUUUACACUGCACGCCAGUGCGAUAAGGGGACCCCAAGUGCGAGGGCAUACAGUCCUCGCUUUUGUGUACCGUAAGGUGGUACACGAAUAAGAGCUGGGCAAGACCGGUGCCAGCCGCCGCGGUAAUACCGGCAGCUCAAGUGAUGACCGAUUUUAUUGGGCCUAAAGCGUCCGUAGCUGGCCGCGUAGGUUCGUCGGGAAAUCCAUCCGCUCAACGGAUGGGCGUCCGGCGAAAACCACGUGGCUUGGGACCGGAAGGCUCGAGGGGUACGUCCGGGGUAGGAGUGAAGUCCCGUAAUCCUGGACGGACCGCCGAUGGCGAAAGCACCUCGAGAAGACGGAUCCGACAGUGAGGGACGAAAGCUGGGGUCUCGAACCGGAUUAGAUACCCGGGUAGUCCCAGCCGUAAACAAUGCCAAUUAGGUGUGGCACCGACUACGAGUCGGUGCUGUGCCGUAGGGAAGCCGAUAAAUUGGCCGCCUGGGAAGUACGUCCGCAAGGAUGAAACUUAAAGGAAUUGGCGGGGGAGCACUACAACCGGAGGAGCCUGCGAUUUAAUUGGACUCAACGCCGGACAUCUCACCAGCAUCGACUGUAGCAAUGAUCAUCAGGUUGAUGACCUCUAUGUUGAGCUACAGAGAGGAGGUGCAUGGCCGCCGUCAGCUCGUACCGUGAGGCGUCCUGUUAAGUCAGGCAACGAGCGAGACCCA